UCAGAUAUGGUGUAGUGGCAAACACAUCCGUUACUCGUUCCGAAGUGCAACAAAAAAUCAAUGGAAAGCCCGGAGUUCGAUUCUUCGUAUCUGAU